rnacentral:rRNA from 1 species
GACGAACGCUGGCGGCGUGCUUAACACAUGCAAGUCGAACGAUGAAGCCGGAGCUUGCUCUGGUGAAUUAGUGGCGAACGGGUGAGUAACACGUGAGUAACCUGCCCUUGACUCUGGGAUAACUGCGGGAAACUGUAGCUAAUACCGGAUACGACCCUCGGAGGCAUCUCCUGGGGGUGGAAAGAAUUUCGGUCAAGGAUGGACUCGCGGCCUAUCAGCUAGUUGGUGAGGUAAAGGCUCACCAAGGCGACGACGGGUAGCCGGCCUGAGAGGGUGACCGGCCAAACGGGGACUGAGACACGGCCCAGACUCCUACGGGAGGAAGCAGUGGGGAAUAUUGCACAAUGGGCGCAAGCGUGAUGCAGCAACGCCGCGUGAGGGAUGACGGCAUUCGGGUUGUAAACCUCUUUUAGCAGGGAAGAAGCGAAAGUGACGGUACCUGCAGAAAAAGCACCGGCUAACUACGUGCCAGCCGCCGCGGUAA